GGGCUAUAGCUCAGUUGGUUAGAGUGCUUGCUUGACAUGCAAGAGGUCACUGGUUCGAGCCCAGUUAGCCCC
rnacentral:tRNA from 1 species